rnacentral:rRNA from 1 species
UACGUAGGGUGCAAGCGUUAAUCGGAAUUACUGGGCGUAAAGCGUGCGCAGGCGGCUUUGCAAGACAGAUGUGAAAUCCCCGGGCUCAACCUGGGAACUGCAUUUGUGACUGCAUGGCUAGAGUACGGUAGAGGGGGGAUGGAAUUCCGCGUGUAGCAGUGAAAUGCGUAGAUAUGCGGAGGAACACCGAUGGCGAAGGCAAUCCCCCUGGACCUGUACUGACG